CAGUAGCCACGGGAAAACGGAGGGAGCUAGCGUUAUUCGGAAUUACUGGGCGUAAAGCGCACGUAGGCGGCUUUGUAAGUUAGAGGUGAAAGCCUGGAGCUCAACUCCAGGAUUGCCUUUAAGACUGCAUCGCUCGAAUCCAGGAGAGGUGAGUGGAAUUCCGAGUGUAGAGGUGAAAUUCGUAGAUAUUCGGAAGAACACCAGUGGCGAAGGCGGCUCACUGGACUGGUAUUGACGCUGAGGUGCGAAAGCGUGGGGAGCAAACAGGAUUAGAUACCCCCGUAGUCCCUGUCUCUUAUAC
rnacentral:rRNA from 1 species